rnacentral:lncRNA from 1 species
CUCACUGCACCAUUAUGUGUCCUCCAACUGACCAUCUCAAUGUUUCUGAUCGCACAGCAUGAUCCAUCCAGUAGAUAAAAAGUGCCUUCUCUGUUCUCUAGGAAGUCAAAUUGCUUCUCUCUAUAACAUACAUGAUAGGUACAUGUAGAAUCUAAAAUCCACUACUGGAAAAAAGUAGAUACCUUGUCAGAUAUCUUAAGGAUAUCUCCCUCUGAAUCGCUACUGACCGUCGCUACAGCAGCCAUCGUCUAAUCCCUG